GACGAACGCUGGCGGCGUGCUUAACACAUGCAAGUCGAACGGAAAGGCCCUGCUUUUGUGGGGUGCUCGAGUGGCGAACGGGUGAGUAACACGUGAGUAACCUGCCCUUGACUUUGGGAUAACUUCAGGAAACUGGGGCUAAUACCGGAUAGGAGCUCCUGCUGCAUGGUGGGGGUUGGAAAGUUUCGGCGGUUGGGGAUGGACUCGCGGCUUAUCAGCUUGUUGGUGGGGUAGUGGCUUACCAAGGCUUUGACGGGUAGCCGGCCUGAGAGGGUGACCGGCCACAAUGGGACUGAGAGACGGCCCAGACUCCUACGGGAGGCAGCAGUGGGGAAUAUUGCACAAUGGGCGGAAGCCAGAUGCAGCAACGCCGCGUGCGGGAUGACGGCCUUCGGGUGGUAAACCGCUUUCGCCGGUGACGAAGCGUGAGUGACGGUAAUGGGUAAAGAAGCACCGGCUAACUACGUG
rnacentral:rRNA from 1 species